rnacentral:rRNA from 1 species
AUUGAACGCUGGCGGCAUGCCUUACACAUGCAAGUCGAACGGCAGCACGGGGGCAACCUUGGUGGCGAGUGGCGAACGGGUGAGUAAUGCAUCGGAACGUGCCCAGUAGUGGGGGGAUAACUAGUCGAAAGAUUAGCUAAUACCGCAUACGACCUACGGGUGAAAGCGGGGGACCUUUACCGGCCUCGCGCUAUCGGAGCGGCCGAUGUCUGAUUAGCUAGUUGGUGGGGUAAUGGCCCACCAAGGCGACGAUCGGUAGCUGGUCUGAGAGGAUGAUCAGCCACACUGGGACUGAGACACGGCCCAGACUCCUACGGGAGGCAG